rfam:Myotis lucifugus cont2.12761, whole genome shotgun sequence.
GGCGGUUCUCGGGUGACACAAUCCGGAAUCAGGCUCCCUCCUCUCUGGUUCUGGGUGUGUCACCGGAGAACUGCA